GGGUUGUGAGGUUAAGCGACUAAGCGUACACGGUGGAUGCCCUGGCAGUCAGAGGCGAUGAAGGACGUGCUAAUCUGCGAAAAGCGUCGGUAAGGUGAUAUGAACCGUUAUAACCGGCGAUGUCCGAAUGGGGAAACCCAGUGCAAUUCGUUGCACUAUCGUUAACUGAAUACAUAGGUUAACGAGGCGAACCGGGGGAACUGAAACAUCUAAGUACCCCGAGGAAAAGAAAUCAACCGAGAUUCCCCCAGUAGCGGCGAGCGAACGGGGAGCAGCCCAGAGUCUGAAUCAGCUUGUGUGUUAGUGGAACGGUCUGGAAAGUCCGACGGUACAGGGUGAUAGUCCCGUACACCAAAAUGCACAGGCUGUGAACUCGAAGAGUAGGGCGGGACACGUGGUAUCCUGUCUGAAUAUGGGGGGACCAUCCUCCAAGGCUAAAUACUCCUGACUGACCGAUAGUGAACCAGUACCGUGAGGGAAAGGCGAAAAGAACCCCGGCGAGGGGAGUGAAAAAGAACCUGAAACCGUGUACGUACAAGCAGUGGGAGCACCUUCGGGUGUGACUGCGUACCUUUUGUAUAAUGGGUCAGCGACUUAUAUUCUGUAGCAAGGUUAACCGUAUAGGGGAGCCGCAGGGAAACCGAGUCUUAACUGGGCGUUAAGUUGCAGGGUAUAGACCCGAAACCCGGUGAUCUAGCCAUGGGCAGGUUGAAGGUUGGGUAACACUAACUGGAGGACCGAACCGACUAAUGUUGAAAAAUUAGCGGAUGACUUGUGGCUGGGGGUGAAAGGCCAAUCAAACCGGGAGAUAGCUGGUUCUCCCCGAAAGCUAUUUAGGUAGCGCCUCGUGAAUUCAUCUUCGGGGGUAGAGCACUGUUUCGGCUAGGGGGUCAUCCCGACUUACCAACCCGAUGCAAACUACGAAUACCGAAGAAUGUUAUCACGGGAGACACACGGCGGGUGCUAACGUCCGUCGUGAAGAGGGAAACAACCCAGACCGCCAGCUAAGGUCCCAAAGUCAUGGUUAAGUGGGAAACGAUGUGGGAAGGCACAGACAGCCAGGAUGUUGGCUUAGAAGCAGCCAUCAUUUAAAGAAAGCGUAAUAGCUCACUGGUCGAGUCGGCCUGCGCGGAAGAUGUAACGGGGCUAAACCAUGCACCGAAGCUGCGGCAGCGACACUAUGUGUUGUUGGGUAGGGGAGCGUUCUGUAAGCCUGCGAAGGUGUGCUGUGAGGCAUGCUGGAGGUAUCAGAAGUGCGAAUGCUGACAUAAGUAACGAUAAAGCGGGUGAAAAGCCCGCUCGCCGGAAGACCAAGGGUUCCUGUCCAACGUUAAUCGGGGCAGGGUGAGUCGACCCCUAAGGCGAGGCCGAAAGGCGUAGUCGAUGGGAAACAGGUUAAUAUUCCUGUACUUGGUGUUACUGCGAAGGGGGGACGGAGAAGGCUAUGUUAGCCGGGCGACGGUUGUCCCGGUUUAAGCAUGUAGGCUGGUUAUCCAGGCAAAUCCGGAUAAUCAAGGCUGAGGUGUGAUGACGAGGCACUACGGUGCUGAAGUAACAAAUGCCCUGCUUCCAGGAAAAGCCUCUAAGCAUCAGGUAACAUCAAAUCGUACCCCAAACCGACACAGGUGGUCAGGUAGAGAAUACCAAGGCGCUUGAGAGAACUCGGGUGAAGGAACUAGGCAAAAUGGUGCCGUAACUUCGGGAGAAGGCACGCUGGUGUGUAGGUGAAGCCCCUGCGGGUGGAGCUGAGACCAGUCGAAGAUACCAGCUGGCUGCAACUGUUUAUUAAAAACACAGCACUGUGCAAACACGAAAGUGGACGUAUACGGUGUGACGCCUGCCCGGUGCCGGAAGGUUAAUUGAUGGGGUUAUCCGUAAGGAGAAGCUCUUGAUCGAAGCCCCGGUAAACGGCGGCCGUAACUAUAACGGUCCUAAGGUAGCGAAAUUCCUUGUCGGGUAAGUUCCGACCUGCACGAAUGGCGUAAUGAUGGCCAGGCUGUCUCCACCCGAGACUCAGUGAAAUUGAACUCGCUGUGAAGAUGCAGUGUACCCGCGGCAAGACGGAAAGACCCCGUGAACCUUUACUAUAGCUUGACACUGAACAUUGAGCCUUGAUGUGUAGGAUAGGUGGGAGGCUUUGAAGCGUGGACGCCAGUCUGCGUGGAGCCAACCUUGAAAUACCACCCUUUAAUGUUUGAUGUUCUAACGUUGGCCCCUUACCGGGGUUGCGGACAGUGUCUGGUGGGUAGUUUGACUGGGGCGGUCUCCUCCCAAAGCGUAACGGAGGAGCACGAAGGUUAGCUAAUCCUGGUCGGACAUCAGGAGGUUAGUGCAAUGGCAUAAGCUAGCUUGACUGCGAGCGUGACGGCGCGAGCAGGUGCGAAAGCAGGUCAUAGUGAUCCGGUGGUUCUGAAUGGAAGGGCCAUCGCUCAACGGAUAAAAGGUACUCCGGGGAUAACAGGCUGAUACCGCCCAAGAGUUCAUAUCGACGGCGGUGUUUGGCACCUCGAUGUCGGCUCAUCACAUCCUGGGGCUGAAGUAGGUCCCAAGGGUAUGGCUGUUCGCCAUUUAAAGUGGUACGCGAGCUGGGUUUAGAACGUCGUGAGACAGUUCGGUCCCUAUCUGCCGUGGGCGCUGGAGAAUUGAGGGGGGCUGCUCCUAGUACGAGAGGACCGGAGUGGACGCAUCACUGGUGUUCGGGUUGUCAUGCCAAUGGCACUGCCCGGUAGCUAAAUGCGGAAGAGAUAAGUGCUGAAAGCAUCUAAGCACGAAACUUGCCCCGAGAUGAGUUCUCCCUGAGACUUUAAGUCUCCUGAAGGAACGUUGAAGACGACGACGUUGAUAGGCCGGGUGUGUAAGCGCAGCGAUGCGUUGAGCUAACCGGUACUAAUGAACCGUGAGGCUUAACCUUACAACGCCGAAG
rnacentral:rRNA from 1 species